UAUUACAUCGUUUGCACGGAAUAAGCAGUGGGAAAGUUCAAAGGUACCUUAGGCUAUAUGUUGAGCGGAAUUUCAACUUUUAAAUUUUAUUCAUAUCAACCUUAGCAUCCUUUAAAAGUGUAUAUUAUGUGGGCAGGAUUUUUCCUAUCUUAUGUGUCUUGCUGGGCUAUGUUGUGAAGCCAGCGAGAUAUGCCAAGCCAAAGGCUCGCAAGUCAGAGUGAGGAACAUGGUGAAUGGAUCAUACAUAGAAGAGUUACAGAGUUCCAGCGAUGAUUAUGACAAGCUAGUUUUUCAGUUUACUCUCUGUGAAAGUAUCAGAUUUAGCAAAAGGAUAUCUUCCAUUUGUUUGUUUACCAGAUGUAACACAUGAUUCUGGGCCGAAAGCUGUUUGUUAGUAUUUAUUUAUCAUGUGAAUGUUAACGCCUUUUAUUAAGAGCUCUUUUCUGCCUGGUUCUUUUCAAAGUGAUCUAUGCUAACACCUUUCCACUGAUCAGCAAAUGGAAGUGUGAAUGUGCAUGCUGUCUAUAGUUCAUAGCAUCUUGUCAGUUGGUAACAACUGAGCUCUUAAAACCUUUUUAUUUAAUAUAUCAUGCUAUGGAAAGAACACAUAUUUUUUUGUUAUGAUCAAGAUGGUUCAGAGUUGUUAGUUUCUUUUUAGUUUGUUUCUGUCCUUGCAAUGUCUAAUCAUGCAUUUGCUCAUUACCUCUAUUUUGCAAAGACAUUGAUAACAAAUUGGCAUUUCUAGGUAUGGAGUCACUCACAUGUGUGUGCACCUUCCACUGCAACGGGGUGCAUCAGGUUGGCAUGAUGCUAUGAGAGGUACUAACUAUUUCAGGGGUGAGCUCUUUAUGUAAUUCUGAUCUUUAUAAGUGGAUGGCUGAAACCAUUGGCAAACUGGGAGCAAUUUAUGUUUAAGUUUCAAUGAUUGUUUGGUUUAGAGGGUACCAUGGACUGACGGAUCAAGGUGAAUUUGGUGUCAUCAGUGGCUCAUAUUUUACUUCGUAAGGUGUUAAACAUUCACGCCUGUGGCUAGGAAAUAUUUUUCUGUUUUUCCCCUUGCAGAACACCAUGAUCAUAAAAAACUGAAUCAUCUCCUCUCUCUCUCUGAAUUAUAGGGAUUGCUUUGUGCAUAAUAUUAUCAGAUUUCCCUAUGAUCAUUCAUACAUACCAAAAUUUAAAUGGCAGGACUUAUUAGAAAGAUUUACUUCUGCAUAUCAAAUUGAUUUUGUGUCAUAUGGGCACUUCAGAUCUGAGUAGAACUUACCUUAUCACAUAUAGCAGUACUAAUAUUUGUUUACAGAGGUGAACUGUAUUUUUCUUUGGUUAUCUCUAUGUGGAAGAUUAAACAGAUGUAGGUAGAUGACCAGGCUCAAGGUUUGGUGACUUCAUCUAGGUAAUGAACAUUUCAAAGCACGCUAUGUAAGGUAUAAUUUUAUUUGAAAGUGGUGCAGAAAACAAUCCCUAUGGACACUUCAGAUCUGAGUAGUACUUACCUUAUCACAUAUAGUAGUACUAAUAUUUCUUUACAGAGGUGGACUGUAUUUUUUUUGGUUAUCUCUAUGUGGAAGAUUAAACAGCUGUAGGUAGAUGACCAGGCUCAAGGUUUGGUGACUUCAUCUAGGAAAUGGAGCCUGACGUAUGUCACUGACGUGUCUAUAGGCUAAGCCCAGUUUGAGCCAUCAUCUACGACAUAACCUAAACCAAGUAGCCAAGAACCCAGGAUGCAAGAUUGGAAGGAAGAGCAAGACAAGUCAAGCAUACCACAGCAGCAACCGAAGAGCAGUCGAACCGAAGCAACUGCGGCAAUCCCAGCGAACGGGCGACCUGAGAAGACAGGAAAGACAUGAUAGUACGACAUUAGUUUGCAUUUUGAUUUAGUUUCAAAUCAGUUGUAGCCAUAUCACUCAGAUCUAAUUUUAGCUCAAUAAAAAAUUUAAUUCACAGGGUUUA